ACCUAACACAAAUUAAGUUGGCAAUGGUAUUUCGUCAAAACGUAGGGAUGUCCCGUAUUACUUGCAUUCUCAGUAAUUUUCGUAGUUCAAAUAUGUGAUUUUCUUGUACUUUUAUUUUAUGUAAUAUAGUUUGUAAUUGACGAUAUUGUUAUUGAUUCGUUUUAGUACACAGUACAAAAAGAAAUAUUUUACAAGCAGUUUUAGAAGAGUGUUAUUUUGUUAUUAAUAUUAUUUAUAGGUUAAAUCGAGAUAAAUUAUAUAUCAUAUUUAUCAAUUAUACAUAUAUCAUUAAUAUAUUAAUGAACGGUGAAUAUAGAACAGUAUGUAUCUAUACGUAUAUAUAAAACUGAGAUAUAUAUAUUCAUUCAGCAAAUAAGUAAAUAACUAAAUAUAUUAGAAUUUUUACUAUCAAAAAAUUACGUAAUAUGGAUAACAAGCAAGUAACAGAAUGUAUAAGAGAAUUUACAUUAAGACAACAGUAUCCAAGCAUAGCUCCAAAACAAAAAAAUACAAAUCUACCUAAAGUAAAGGUAGAAACAAAGACAUGUUCACAAUCAUUGAUACCUACGAAAACAAAACUUAUGUCAACAGUCAAUGUGCAAAUUAAAGAUGGAUUUCAUAAAUUACGAUUAAAAUCGCCAAGUGGUAAAUAUUUAGGAGAAUUUAAUGCACAAAUGUUAUCUUAUAAUAGCAACAUUAUAAAAAGUAAGACGCUUAUAAAUCAGAACAAAUGUAAAAAUUUAAAUAAAUCUGUUAUAUUAUCAAAUGUAAUGUCAGAAGAUAAAGCAAAAAAGUUGGUAACUAUUGUACCCCUUCAAUCUAUAAAAAACAUUAUUAAUGUAUCAAAGUUAGAGAAUACAAUUUCUUCUGAAAAGAAUAAUGGCAAUGUUAAUAAAAAAUGCCAAGCCAAAACUAUUUCUUUAAAACAUAUUGUCACUACUGAUAAGUGUCAGAAAAAAAAAGAGAAUACAAAUACUACAAAUAUGGAUAUAGAUAUUAUUACAAAUAAUGAGUGUAAUAAAAAUGGAGAAUCCGAAUAUAAUCAAAUUCAAAACACAUUAGUAAAAAAUGAAAAUAAGUUAAAAAGUACAAAAGAUGUUUUGUUGGAUACAAAUGUAUUAGAAAAUAUUAAACAAAUAAAAAAUACAAAUUCUUUGUCAGAAUUAUCAGAAUAUAUAUUAUUUCCUAAACAUAAAAAUGUUAUUGAUACAUUUUCAUCAACAUUUUCUAAUCAAUCUGUGAAUAUGUCUAACAACAUAAUUAAAAUAGUAGACAAAAAAAGGUCUGAUAUAGGUAAUUCUGUACUUGACAAUAAUAAAUUAUUUAAUAAUACAAAGAAAGAAUUAUAUUUAUUACCAGUGAAUAAUGAAGAUAUAGAUAUAUCUUUUGAACAGAACAAUAAAGUAAUUAAUUUGAAAUCUGAUGAUCACAUUUUAUCUGAAGAAAGUGUAAAUACUACAAGCAAUGAAAGGACUGCUACAAAUAUUUCUAACCAUCAAAAUGUGUUUGAACAAAACAUGAUUGUACAUAAUAAUGAAAUAUCAUUAUCAGAUAACUGCAUUACAAGAAAGGAUAAUGAUAAUGUAACACAUGUAAAUCAUAAUAAUGAUAAUGUAUGUAAUAAUAUUUCUCUAAAGUAUGAUAAUGAUAAUAUUCCUGUUGUCACUGCAGAAAAUGGUUAUACAAAUUUUAAAUCUCAAAAUGUCAACAAUCAUUCAAUAAAAAAUCAUUUUGAUGAUGAUAUACCAUUGCAAAAACCAUUAUCUUCUAAUUGGAAUACUCUUAAAGAGAUAGUGACUAUAAAAGAUGAACAAAUGAGAAUUAAAGCUUUCAAAGCCCUUGUAGAUUGUAUUGCAAUAAACGAACAGAUUCCUUCACACCUACCAACAGAUUUAAAAACAAUGUGUGACAUUAAAGUACAGACAGAUAUUAACUUAUUUGAACCACAGAAUUUUACUACUACAGAGGAAAAUACAUUUGGUAUACCAAAAAUAAAAUUAAAAGAAUCAUAUCCUGCAAAUACAAUAGAAAAUUCGAAUAUAAAUCUAGUGAACGAUAUGUAUGAAAAUUCAUUUUUUUCACUUUUUAAUAAAUCAGAAGAGUCUAAUAUAUAUCUUGAAAAAUUUACUGAUGAUGUGUGUAAUAAAAAUAGUGGUGCUAAUAAAGUUAAACAAAUUUUAUCACAAGCAAAUCCAUUUUAUAACAAAAUCUUUAAACAACUACAAAAAGACUUUGAAACUGCCAAACAAUGGGAUGAAAAUGGAAUGUUAAAUAUACAUAGAGCUGUUAUUAGCAAUAGAAUUUAUGAUGCUCAAAGACAUUUAAUGGUACUUGAAGCUUGUAAUAUAAAUGUAGACAUACCUACAGAGUCUCAUAUGACAAGUUUAGAAUUGGCAGUUAAAUAUAAUGUAUCUACUGAAAUUGUCAAGUUGCUGUUAAAAGCUGGUGCAAAUCCAGUAUCAUUAAAACCAGUACAUGAGUCAGCUUUGAUAAUAGCCAGUAAGACAAAUUUUCCAUUAUUACCAGAACUUGUAAAACAUGUUUCAUGUAUUAAACUACUAAAUAAUAUGGAUUUUACAGGUUUUGCUCCAUUACAUUACUGUGCUCAAUAUGGUAACUUAAAAGGAGUUAUAUCAUUAAUAAAUAUGGGUGCUAAUAUAAAUUUAAAAGAAAGCAGAUCUGGCAGAACUCCACUUUUUCUGGCAAUAGAAAAUAAACAUCCCAUAAUAGCAAAAAAACUUAUUGAAAAUGGGGCAUCAAUAAAUAUCCCUAACUUUGCUGGACAAACAGUUAUUUCAUUAGCAGAUUAAAUCGAUCAUUUUACUAAGUACACUUGCUACAAUUGUAAAUAACUUUCUGAUAAACAUAUCUAGAUACACAUUAAAUAUAUAUAUAUAUAUAUAUAUAUAUAUAUAUAUAUAUAUAUAUUUAUAUUUAUAAUAAUAUGAUAACAACAGAUCUGUACUUUUGGUCAGAUAAAUUGUAUUUAAGUUGUAUCUAGAAUUAAUAAUAACUCUGUUUUUUUUAAAUCAACUUUUUACAGUUGUAGUAGCAUGGAUAUCUUAUCAGUCGAAAUUAUUUUCGUUUGCAUAAAAAAUGCACAGUGCAUAAGAAUGUGUAUGCACUAUAAUAAUAAUAAGGUGGGUUAUGUAAAAUCCACAUCUUAACCAACAUUAAAUGGUAAAAGUGCCUUGCCAAAAACAUCUGAGAGUAGAUUACUAUUUUCUUUAUAUAUCUUUCAUUCCCCUUCUGUUCGUCUCUAUCUGAAAAAUCAACUGAAAAAAUGGCACAAAUCCUGAAGAAAACUUCAAUUAGAUAUCUCUCAUAAUUAUUAUAUGGACCAAAACAAUUUAAAAUUGGAAGUCUCUAUUACUUAUUGAGAUAAGUAUUAUCCAAAUUUAAGGAUAUUUCAGACAUCAACAUAUUCGGUAGAUACAAAUCAAGACAGUUACAAUCAAAUUGAGUGACCUUACCUAUUAAUUUAACUUUAAUAUCAGUGUGUUUAUGAUAAUAUAGAUGACCUUUUCAUGAGUGGUUAAAUCUUUUAAGUGUUUCAAAUGUUGUUUAAGCUCAACUAACCAUAAGAAAAGAAAAUAGUCAGAAUUCGAAAAAAAAUGGACAUAAUAAAACUAUUAAAAAAAAAAUAAAAAUAAAAAACUUUGUUUUACUCUGAAAAUGGUGAUUCAAUAUAAUCUGUAACAAAAUUAUGAUAUAUAUUUAUUGUUAAUGUUCUUACAUGUUCUUCUCUUAAAAAAAAAAGACGAAUUGUAAACAUGAUAAUGUAGUAUUAUUAUUAUUAUUAUACAUAAAUAUUUAUUUGUACUUAAAAAAUUUACUGAUGGCUCAUAUCAAUAACACUGUAUGAUAUAAAGUAGCAUUCUUUUUACAACUAUCUGUCUAUUUCGGUAUAUUUAGUUAUUAAUAUUAAAUAAUGACAAUAGUAUACUUAUACCUAGUUUAAUUAUUCUUAAUAAUAAAGAUCAUACAUCUUUCAUAACUUUUAUUAAUUUCUAAGAGAUACGGAGGAUUAAUUUACAGAACUGAUAACCUUUUAUCCCCACUCUUUUUAUUAUCUUUCUUCAGUUGAUCAUCGUUGCUAUUAAAUUAUCAUUCUUUAGUUUUUCUUUGCUGUUGCUAUUUACAUGUCACAAUGUCACACAUAUUGUAUCUUAUCUAUCAAUAAAGGAUACUUGUAUGUAUUACUUAUUUAAAUUAAAACAUCUGGAAACGUUGGAAGAAUAAACAUACUUAAAUAAAGAUAAUGAGAUAACAGUAGUAGGAUCAUAAUUUUUUUUUUGAUCGGAAAUUUGUAUCAUUCUCAUAAAAU